AUACCUUCUCGGCCUUUUGGCUAAGAUCAAGUGUAGUAUCUGUUCCGAUUUGGUACAUUUUGAUUGGCCGUUUCAGCUUCU
rnacentral:snRNA from 1 species